GCGGAGGAAAAGAAACCAACAGGGAUUGCCCUAGUAACGGCGAGUGAAGCGGCAACAGCUCAAAUUUGAAAUCCGGCUUCGGCCCGAGUUGUAAUUUGCAGAGGAAGCUUUAGGCGCGGCACCUUCUGAGUCCCCUGGAACGGGGCGCCAUAGAGGGUGAGAGCCCCGUAUAGUUGGAUGCCUAGCCUGUGUAAAGCUCCUUCGACGAGUCGAGUAGUUUGGGAAUGCUGCUCAAAAUGGGAGGUAAAUUUCUUCUAAAGCUAAAUACCGGCCAGAGACCGAUAGCGCACAAGUAGAGUGAUCGAAAGAUGAAAAGCACUUUGAAAAGAGGGUUAAAUAGCACGUGAAAUUGUUGAAAGGGAAGCGCUUGUGACCAGACUUGCGCCGGGCGGAUCAUCCGGUGUUCUCACCGGUGCACUCCGCCCGGCUCAGGCCAGCAUCGGUUCUCGCGGGGGGAUAAAGGUCUCGGGAACGUAGCUCCUCCGGGAGUGUUAUAGCCCGGGGCGUAAUGCCCUCGCGGGGACCGAGGUUCGCGCAUCUGCAAGGAUGCUGGCGUAAUGGUCAUCAGCGACCCGUCUUGACC
rnacentral:rRNA from 1 species